AGAGUUUGAUCAUGGCUCAGGACGAACGCUGGCGGCGUGCUUAACACAUGCAAGUCGAGCGGUAAGGCUCCUUCGGGGGUACACGAGCGGCGAACGGGUGAGUAACACGUGAGUAAUCUGCCCUUGGCUCUGGGAUAAGCACUCGAAAGGGUGUCUAAUACCGGAUAUGACAACUCCUCGCAUGGGGUGGUUGUGGAAAGUUUUUUCGGCUGGGGAUGUGCUCGCGGCCUAUCAGCUUGUUGGUGGGGUAAUGGCCUACCAAGGCUUUGACGGGUAGCCGGCCUGAGAGGGUGACCGGUCACACUGGGACUGAGACACGGCCCAGACUCCUACGGGAGGCAGCAGUGGGGAAUAUUGGACAAUGGGCGGAAGCCUGAUCCAGCAACGCCGCGUGAGGGAUGACGGCCUUCGGGUUGUAAACCUCUUUCAGUACCGACGAAGCUGUUCCUUUUUGGGGUGGUGACGGUAGGUACAGAAGAAGCACCGGCCAACUACGUGCCAGCAGCCGCGGUAAUACGUAGGGUGCGAGCGUUGUCCGGAAUUAUUGGGCGUAAAGGGCUCGUAGGCGGUUUGUCGCGUCGGGAGUGAAAACAUCCAGCUUAACUGGGUGCUUGCUUUCGAUACGGGCAGACUUGAGGUAUGCAGGGGAGAAUGGAAUUCCUGGUGUAGCGGUGAAAUGCGCAGAUAUCAGGAGGAACACCGGUGGCGAAGGCGGUUCUCUGGGCAUUACCUGACGCUGAGGAGCGAAAGUGUGGGGAGCGAACAGGAUUAGAUACCCCGGUAGUCC
rnacentral:rRNA from 1 species